AUGAAGUCUGCUGCGUGGUUGCCCCACACACACACACAAACACAGCACACUGCUUCAGGUCUACAAGGCUCUACAAGAUCUAUUAGCGCAAUCACAGUCCUCACAGCUGCAGUCGUCUGACCCUGCACCUGCUACACCGGCCACGACAGAUGAUACAGAUCUGCCACCCCCAGCAGUUCAGCUGCAGUCACAGUAGUCCUCUGCUGUGGUAUUUCAUUUACCGGCUGCACCAGUUCUUACUACACUGGCUGCGAAGGGAGAAACUUUUGAGGAUUCCCAGAUGGAUACAGAUCUGCCAUGCACUCCACCACUGCCCCUGAUAGCCUCUCCCAGAAGUGCAUACACCGGGUCUAUCACUAUUGACAAAGCAGAGAUAGGUGGCUGACAAGGAAAAAUAAAACAACAUCCCACACACACACACACAUUAUCCCCAAUGUAAAUACAUUGUAAUUACUUCAUUAUUUUAUUUUAGGAUUGGAGAUAUCUACACCUACAUAUUCAUUAUCAAUAACUACAUAAUUACUCUAAGAAUCUUUCCAAUCAGUGUGAUUGAUAAUAUUGUAAGAGUAUUGCUUAAUUUGUAGUUUGAGAAAAC
ensembl:lncRNA